CAAGCGGUGGAGCAUGUGGUUUAAUUCGAUGCAACGCGAAGAACCUUACCUGGUCUUGACAUCCACGGAACUUUUCAGAGAUGAGAAGGUGCCUUCGGGAACUGUGAGACAGGUGCUGCAUGGCUGUCGUCAGCUCGUGUUGUGAAAUGUUGGGUUAAGUCCCGCAACGAGCGCAACCCUUAUCCUUUGUUGCCAGCGGUCCGGCCGGGAACUCAAAGGAGACUGCCAGUGAUAAACUGGAGGAAGGUGGGGAUGACGUCAAGUCAUCAUGGCCCUUACGACCAGGGCUACACACGUGCUACAAUGGCGCAUACAAAGAGAAGCGACCUCGCGAGAGCAAGCGGACCUCAUAAAGUGCGUCGUAGUCCGGAUUGGAGUCUGCAACUCGACUCCAUGAAGUCGGAAUCGCUAGUAAUCGUGGAUCAGAAUGCCACGGUGAAUACGUUCCCGGGCCUUGUACACACC
rnacentral:rRNA from 1 species